rnacentral:rRNA from 1 species
UACGGGGGGGGCAAGCGUUACUCGGAAUUAUUGGGCGUAAAGGGCGCGUAGGCGGUCGUGUGCGUCGGAGGUGAAAUCCCCAGGCUUAACCUGGGAACUGCCUCCGAUACGGCAUGGCUUGAGUCCGGGAGGGGGGAGCAGAAUUCCCAGUGUAGCGGUGAAAUGCGUAGAUAUUGGGAGGAAUACCAGUGGCGAAGGCGGCUCCCUGGACCGGUACUGACGCUGAGGCGCGAAAGCGUGGGUAG